rnacentral:rRNA from 1 species
UGCAUGUCUAGCAUGCGAGUCAUUGUAGCAUACAAGGCAUACGGCUCAGUAACGCGUAGUCAACCUAACCUAUGGACGGGAAUAACCUCGGGAAACUGAGAAUAAUGCCCGAUAGAACACUAUACCUGGAAUGGUUUGUGUUCCAAAUGAUUUAUCGCCAUAGGAUGGGACUGCGGCCUAUCAGUUUGUUGGUGAGGUAAUGGCCCACCAAGACUAUUACAGGUACGGGCUCUGAGAGGAGUAGCCCGGAGAUGGGUACUGAGACACGGACCCAGGCCCUAUGGGGCGCAGCAGGCGAGAAAACUUUGCAAUGUGCGAAAGCACGACAAGGUUAAUCCGAGUGAUUUGUGCUAAACGAAUCUUUUGUUAGUCCUAGAAACACUAACGAAUAAGGGGUGGGCAAGUUCUGGUGUCAGCCGCCGCGGUAAAACCAGCACCUCAAGUGGUCAGGAUGAUUAUUGGGCCUAAAGCAUCCGUAGCCGGCUCUGUAAGUUUUCGGUUAAAUCUGUACGCUUAACGUACAGGCUGCCGGGAAUACUGCAGAGCUAGGGAGUGGGAGAGGUAGACGGUACUCGGUAGGAAGUGGUAAAAUGCUUUGAUCUAUCGAUGACCACCUGUGGCGAAAGGCGGUCUACCAGAACACGUCCGACGGUGAGGGAUGAAAGCUGGGGGAGCAAACCGGGAUUAGAAACCCGGUAGUUCCAAGCCUGUAAACUAUGCAACUCAGUGAUGCAUUUGGCUUUGUGGCCCAAUGCAGGUGCCUGCCAAGGGUAGC